rnacentral:tRNA from 1 species
GUGCUUGUGGUGUAGUGGUCAUCACAUCCGCCUCACACGCGGAAGGUCCCAGGUUCAAUCCCUGGCAAGCACA